AUUGAACGCUGGCGGCAGGCCUAACACCUGCACGUCGAACGAGUGGCGGACGGGUGAGUAAUGUCUGGGCCACUUCCUGAUGGAGGGGGAUAACUACUGUAAACGGUAGCUAAUACCGCAUACCAUCGGAUGUGCCCAGAUGGGAUUAGCUUGUAGGUGGGGUAAAGGCUCACCUAGGCGACGAUCCCUAGCUGGUCUGAGAGGAUGACCAGCAAAACUGGAACGGAGACACGGUCCAGACUCCUACGGGAGGCAGCAGUGGGGAAUAUUGAACAAUGGGCGCAAGCCUGAUGCAGCCAUGCCGCGUGUAUGAAGAAGGCCUUCGGGUUGUAAAGUACUUUCAGCGGGGAGGCGUUACCCGAAGAAGAAGCACCGGCUAACUCCGUGCCAGCAGCCGCGGUAAUUC
rnacentral:rRNA from 1 species